rfam:Gorilla gorilla gorilla genomic chromosome, chr2A, whole genome shotgun sequence
GCCGGGCAUGGUGGUGCAUGUCUGCGGUCCCAGCUCCUUGGGAGGCUGAGGUGGGAGGAUUGCUUGAGCCCGGGAGGUUAAGACUUCAGUGAGCUGAGAUAGUGCCACUGCACUCUAGCCUGGGCAACAGAGCAAGACCCUGUCUCAA